rnacentral:rRNA from 1 species
CCUACGGGAGGCAGCAGUGAGGAAUAUUGGUCAAUGGGCAGAAGCCUGAACCAGCCAAGUCGCGUGAGGGAUGACGGCCCUACGGGUCGUAAACCGCUUUUGCACGGGGAUAACAAGCUCCACUUGUGGAGGUCUGACGGUACCGUGCGAAUAAGCGCCGGCUAAUUCCGUGCCAGCAGCCGCGGUAAUACGGAGGGCGCGAGCGUUAUCCGGAUUCAUUGGGCUUAAAGGGAGCGUAGGCGGGCUUACAAGUCAGCGGUAAAAUCGCGCGGCUCAACCUCACUCCGCAGUUGAUACUGGAGGCCUUGAGAACACGACAGGCAGGCGGAAUUCGUGGUGUAGCGGUGAAAUGCAUAGAUAUCACGUGGAACCCCGAUAGCGAAGGCAGCCUGCCGGAGUGCGACUGACGCUGAUGCUCGAAGGCGCGGGUAGCAAACAGGAUUAGAUACCCGUGUAGUC